AAUUUAUCUCUAUCGUGUACAUACAUUUGUCUAGUUGCUGAUGCAGUCCUGAUGUACUGAUUGGUUGGAACUUCACUACCGGAUGAGAGUAUUUUCUGUGUAGAGCACUCUGGAGGAAUGAACAAAGUAAUUGAGAGAGUCUUGUAGGGCUUCUUCAUUGCUCUUCUAAGUUGGCAGUACUGGUACAAGGAGCCAGGAAGGAGCCCAGAUAAAUACCUCUGCUAUGGAGAAGAGAGUGCUAAUACAGCUGAUCCUGCUGAGCCUGGUGGUUGAGAGCUGCCAAGGGUGCUACUGCGAACAUUAUCCAUGGGGGUCAUGGUCCAGCUGUUCAAAAACCUGCAAUUAUGGCACGCAGACAAGGCACAGGCAAAUAAAAAUGGAUGAAUAUUACAACCAAAACUUCUGUGACCAGCUGUGCACCAAGCAGGAAUCUCGUGCAUGUAACCAACAAACCUGUCCUAUCAACUGCCAACUUGGAGACUUCAGCUCUUGGUCAGAAUGUGACCCAUGCGUUAAAAAACAAG